rnacentral:lncRNA from 1 species
GCAACUUAUCAAUUACCUUUGAUUUUUAUCAAUAGCAUGCCCGGUGGGUAAUGUACGGCUAGGGCAUAGUUACCUGCACCAAGCUCUGAGCACUAUCGCGUCCUUAUGGGUGCUAGAUGCCACCCUGCUUGUAUGGCUUAAGCCACACCACCUAUGGUCUACUCCACUCCACUCUGUAUUUGCCCUCCAUUAAAAAUUAGUUCGAACUCGAAAUUCGACCUACAAAUCACAAGAAACCAUGCUUCUAAAUUGUUUAGUGUAAAAAGAUUGAUGC